rnacentral:ncRNA from 2 species
AACUGAGAUAGAGGCGCGAAACUUAAGAGUACUAUUAUGGAGGUAAGCUCGUUGAAGUAAUAAGAAAGGAAUUUUCGCCGAAGUGAAUAGUUAAUGGCUUUAAUACUAUUUGCUGGGCUUAUAUAAAAUAUAUAUAAGACUGUCACAUUUUUGUGGAGAGCUAUUUUCAAU